CUCCUAACCCAAUUCCUCUUCCAAUUUCAAACUCCCCCUAAUUUUUUUUUCUUGUAUUCCUCAACUUCCUUUUUCUUCCCUACAUCGAUUUCCUCUCAACUGGAUCCACUCAAUCUUUUCACACACCCCUUCAACUCAAAACCCUAGCUCCAGGUCCAGAAUAACAAAGCAAGUAUAUUUCUUAAAGCUCCGACCUGAAUCACCAUCCGAAACUCAACCCGUGACCAGUUAGUUUUUGUCAAAAUGAGUUUUUUGAUUGAAAAAAAUCUAUUUAGGGUUUCUGGGCCGGCCAGAAAUAUUCAGUAAGAAGCGAUGAUGGAGUAAAUGAGAAGAAGUUGAAGACGGCCCGUGAGAGGAAUCUGGACAAGCUUAAGCUUCUUCCAAAGGAAAUGCGCAGAACCCUAAUUCUUCUUUCUCUUUCUAAUUCGUUCUGGUUUCACCCUUCUGAUUGAUUGAUAUGUGUACAGGUAGUCAACUUGAAGCCAGCAAGAAAGCUAUUAAGAUCGAGUUUUGGUAGGUGAGUUGUGUAUGUUUCUCCAAGGUGAUUCGAUCACACUCGCUAAUCGCUAAAGCCGCCGGUCACCACCACUUCGAGUGACUACCAUCGCACCAACGCAUAUGACCUCAGAGUAUCAAGUUUUUUCACCAAUUGUUCCAACCCGAGAAUACUAUUUUGUUAGGUACUGCAAACAACAUACUGACGGGUUAUGGGCCGUGGUUGAUGUAUCUUUGGACAACUUGCACCCUUCCACAACCGCAAGAUCUAGAAGAAGGCCAUUGGGUUGUUUGAUUGAAGAACUUCCAAUGGAUAUUCGAAGGUCACAUGGGUUGAACAUGUUGAAGUCGAUGAUAGAGCUGUUCAUGACAUCUAUCGGUCACUAAUGAAUUCUGGUUUAGCAUUUGGGGCCAGACGAUGGGUAGCAACGCUUGACAGACAAUGUGAACGGCUUGCAAGCGCGAUGGCUAGCAAUAUUCCUUGAGGCGACGUUGGAGGUCGGAGAUGAAGUUUUCCUCAAAAGCAAAAGGCAUUCUAAACUCUACUGAGACUGUAGCAAGAGGAAGGGUCUAGAGCUUGGACCCAAAUGAUCUAGUUGGUGGUACAGAGAUUGGACCAGAAUGGUGUGAGGUAAACGUUAAAGUACCAAUAAAAAAAGAUGAAAACUUGGUAAGAGCAUAUGGUGGAUUUUCUACAAUUCAAGAUUGUAUUGGUGCAUCCAUCGCAUGGCCCUAUCCAUUCAUCUCGGUAGUCCAUGAGGAUUGAGGAUGCAUGAUGACUCAAGAUUUUAUGCUUCUUAUUUCUUUAAUUGCGUUUAAUUUCUUUUUGUUAAUUGUUAAGACUUUAUGUUAGAUAAUGUUAUAACUUA